rnacentral:rRNA from 1 species
GAUGAACGCUGGCGGCGUGCCUAACACAUGCAAGUCGAGCGGCAGCGCGGGGUGCUUGCACCCUGCCGGCGAGCGGCGGACGGCUGAGUAACGCGUGGGAACGUGCCCCAAAGUGAGGAAUAACUGCCCGAAAGGGUAGCUAAUACCGCAUAUUAUCUUCGGAUCAAAGGAUUUAUCCGCUUUGGGAGCGGCUCGCGUCGGAUUAGGUAGUUGGUGAGGUAAUGGCUCACCAAGCCGACGAUCCGUAGCUGGUCUGAGAGGAUGACCAGCCAGACUGGAACUGAGACACGGUCCAGACUCCUACGGGAGGCAGCAGUGAGGAAUCUUCCACAAUGGGCGAAAGCCUGAUGGAGCAACGCCGCGUGCAGGACGAAGGCCUUCGGGUUGUAAACUGCUUUUAUAAGUGAGGAAUAUGACGGUAACUGAUGAAUAAGGAUCGGCUAACUACGUG